UGGGGACGGCCGCCUUCUCUGGCGGGGAAAGCGGGCGAGUAACAUUCGCGGUGCUGGGAGGGGACGCGGUGGUCGGAGGGGGUUGGACUGCUGCGCGGCCCGCCCUGCGGCAGCCGGAGGGGUAGGGCGAAGGGAACGGAACGGGCUCAUCUGCCGCCUCGGCCAUUGCUCCCGCAGAGGGCGGGUCGCUUCCGGCGCGGCUCGGGCCGCUGAUAGGCCGCUUGGCCUCCCGCCGUGUGUGAAAACACAAAUGGCGCCUCGGGACUGGCGGGCCGCGCCUGUCAAUCUUGGCGGAGGGAGGGAGUGCGCAGCCGCGGCCAGUGUGCCGCGCGGCGCCCUGGGUGGGGUGGGGACAGGUCGGGCGGGGUCGGCACGGGUAGUGAAAGUGGCUCCCGCGCGGCGCUGUCCGCUCCGCCCCUUCCUCCGCGGCGGCGGGCCCUGAUUGGGCAGCGGUGCGGGUGGGCGGGGCCAGGCGCGGGGAGGCGACGGCGGCGGGUCCGGGCCUCCCUGGACCCCGCGCCGCAGUGUCUGGCCCCGCUCCCCUGCGCAACGUGGCAGGAAGCGCGCGCUGAGGGCUGGGGGGGGGGGGGGGGGCGGAUGCAGCCCCGCCUGCCUGCCGGCCUCUCAACCAAACCCACCGGACCGGCUCUGGGGCGGGGUGGGUGCUGGAGCCGUACGCGGUGCACCGGCGCCCGGGCCUCCUCCCCCCCCCAGGCCGGGUGGCGGGGAGCCCUCCCCGGCAGCUGCAGUGCGGGGGGGGGGGGGGGCGCGGGGGCGGGCCGCGCCCUGGUCGGCGGCGAGGGCAGUGCCGCAGUGCCUGCCUCCCUGGGAGCGCUCGGCCACCUCCCGCCGCCCAAGGCCCGCCCUGGCCCUGGCAGGAUCCCGCCCUCCCCCCUCCCGCCAUCUCGUCAUCGCCUCCAUGUCGAGCAGGGCUGCGGCGGGUGCCUGGGCGUUGUCCUGCUGGAGCAGGGUUUAAAGGAGAACCUGUACCCCAAACUGGCCUUCGUGUGACAGGGAAACCAGGAAGCCAGAAGAUUAGGAAUUACGUGCUAGAGUCUGUCUUGGAGCAGGGAUUCUGCAACAGGGAAGAUCUGGCACCGAGCCCCGGGUUCCUGGUUUGAGCUGAUGAAAAACUCAGCAGUUCUCCAAAGUAUUCCUUCCUAACCCCAGAAGAACCCCACAGCAACAAGACUGGGGAGGCAGAUUUGAACCUGGUCUCUUUGCUUGUUGACCUGUUUUUAGUAAUAAAGCUUUUUCUCACAA